GGGUUGUGAGGUUAAGCGACUAAGCGUACACGGUGGAUGCCCUGGCAGUCAGAGGCGAUGAAGGACGUGCUAAUCUGCGAUAAGCGUCGGUAAGGUGAUAUGAACCGUUAUAACCGGCGAUUUCCGAAUGGGGAAACCCAGUGUGUUUCGACACACUAUCAUUAACUGAAUCCAUAGGUUAAUGAGGCGAACCGGGGGAACUGAAACAUCUAAGUACCCCGAGGAAAAGAAAUCAACCGAGAUUCCCCCAGUAGCGGCGAGCGAACGGGGAGCAGCCCAGAGCCUGAAUCAGUGUGUGUGUUAGUGGAAGCGUCUGGAAAGGCGCGCGAUACAGGGUGACAGCCCCGUACACAAAAAUGCACAUGCUGUGAGCUCGAUGAGUAGGGCGGGACACGUGGUAUCCUGUCUGAAUAUGGGGGGACCAUCCUCCAAGGCUAAAUACUCCUGACUGACCGAUAGUGAACCAGUACCGUGAGGGAAAGGCGAAAAGAACCCCGGCGAGGGGAGUGAAAAAGAACCUGAAACCGUGUACGUACAAGCAGUGGGAGCCUCUUUAUGGGGUGACUGCGUACCUUUUGUAUAAUGGGUCAGCGACUUAUAUUCUGUAGCAAGGUUAACCGAAUAGGGGAGCCGAAGGGAAACCGAGUCUUAACUGGGCGUUAAGUUGCAGGGUAUAGACCCGAAACCCGGUGAUCUAGCCAUGGGCAGGUUGAAGGUUGGGUAACACUAACUGGAGGACCGAACCGACUAAUGUUGAAAAAUUAGCGGAUGACUUGUGGCUGGGGGUGAAAGGCCAAUCAAACCGGGAGAUAGCUGGUUCUCCCCGAAAGCUAUUUAGGUAGCGCCUCGUGAAUUCAUCUCCGGGGGUAGAGCACUGUUUCGGCAAGGGGGUCAUCCCGACUUACCAACCCGAUGCAAACUGCGAAUACCGGAGAAUGUUAUCACGGGAGACACACGGCGGGUGCUAACGUCCGUCGUGAAGAGGGAAACAACCCAGACCGCCAGCUAAGGUCCCAAAGUCAUGGUUAAGUGGGAAACGAUGUGGGAAGGCCCAGACAGCCAGGAUGUUGGCUUAGAAGCAGCCAUCAUUUAAAGAAAGCGUAAUAGCUCACUGGUCGAGUCGGCCUGCGCGGAAGAUGUAACGGGGCUAAACCAUGCACCGAAGCUGCGGCAGCGACGCUUAUGCGUUGUUGGGUAGGGGAGCGUUCUGUAAGCCUGUGAAGGUGUGCUGUGAGGCAUGCUGGAGGUAUCAGAAGUGCGAAUGCUGACAUAAGUAACGAUAAAGCGGGUGAAAAGCCCGCUCGCCGGAAGACCAAGGGUUCCUGUCCAACGUUAAUCGGGGCAGGGUGAGUCGACCCCUAAGGCGAGGCCGAAAGGCGUAGUCGAUGGGAAACAGGUUAAUAUUCCUGUACUUGGUGUUACUGCGAAGGGGGGACGGAGAAGGCUAUGUUGGCCGGGCGACGGUUGUCCCGGUUUAAGCGUGUAGGCUGAUUUUCCAGGCAAAUCCGGAAAAUCAAGGCUGAGGCGUGAUGACGAGGCACUACGGUGCUGAAGCAACAAAUGCCCUGCUUCCAGGAAAAGCCUCUAAGCAUCAGGUAACAUCAAAUCGUACCCCAAACCGACACAGGUGGUCAGGUAGAGAAUACCAAGGCGCUUGAGAGAACUCGGGUGAAGGAACUAGGCAAAAUGGUGCCGUAACUUCGGGAGAAGGCACGCUGAUAUGUAGGUGAAGUCCCUCGCGGAUGGAGCUGAAAUCAGUCGAAGAUACCAGCUGGCUGCAACUGUUUAUUAAAAACACAGCACUGUGCAAACACGAAAGUGGACGUAUACGGUGUGACGCCUGCCCGGUGCCGGAAGGUUAAUUGAUGGGGUCAGCGCAAGCGAAGCUCUUGAUCGAAGCCCCGGUAAACGGCGGCCGUAACUAUAACGGUCCUAAGGUAGCGAAAUUCCUUGUCGGGUAAGUUCCGACCUGCACGAAUGGCGUAAUGAUGGCCAGGCUGUCUCCACCCGAGACUCAGUGAAAUUGAACUCGCUGUGAAGAUGCAGUGUACCCGCGGCAAGACGGAAAGACCCCGUGAACCUUUACUAUAGCUUGACACUGAACAUUGAGCCUUGAUGUGUAGGAUAGGUGGGAGGCUUUGAAGUGUGGACGCCAGUCUGCAUGGAGCCGGCCUUGAAAUACCACCCUUUAAUGUUUGAUGUUCUAACGUGGACCCGUAAUCCGGGUUGCGGACAGUGUCUGGUGGGUAGUUUGACUGGGGCGGUCUCCUCCUAAAGAGUAACGGAGGAGCACGAAGGUUGGCUAAUCCUGGUCGGACAUCAGGAGGUUAGUGCAAUGGCAUAAGCCAGCUUGACUGCGAGCGUGACGGCGCGAGCAGGUGCGAAAGCAGGUCAUAGUGAUCCGGUGGUUCUGAAUGGAAGGGCCAUCGCUCAACGGAUAAAAGGUACUCCGGGGAUAACAGGCUGAUACCGCCCAAGAGUUCAUAUCGACGGCGGUGUUUGGCACCUCGAUGUCGGCUCAUCACAUCCUGGGGCUGAAGUAGGUCCCAAGGGUAUGGCUGUUCGCCAUUUAAAGUGGUACGCGAGCUGGGUUUAGAACGUCGUGAGACAGUUCGGUCCCUAUCUGCCGUGGGCGCUGGAGAACUGAGGGGGGCUGCUCCUAGUACGAGAGGACCGGAGUGGACGCAUCACUGGUGUUCGGGUUGUCAUGCCAAUGGCACUGCCCGGUAGCUAAAUGCGGAAGAGAUAAGUGCUGAAAGCAUCUAAGCACGAAACUUGCCCCGAGAUGAGUUCUCCCUGACCCUUUAAGGGUCCUGAAGGAACGUUGAAGACGACGACGUUGAUAGGCCGGGUGUGUAAGCGCAGCGAUGCGUUGAGCUAACCGGUACUAAUGAACCGUGAGGCUUAACCUUACAACGCCGAAG
rnacentral:rRNA from 1 species